GUAUUAAGUAUAUUAAACACAGAUAGUACGUAUCAGAUAAUCGAGAACAUCAGAAGAUUUGCCGAUAUGUUAAUUAUCUGCAUUUGCACCUGCACUUGAAACCAGUUCUUUAUAUCUUCCCCUACUAGAUAUAAACAAGUCAAACCCCGCUUCAAAGCUUCUAAUAUGGUAUAGCUAGGCCAAACAAACCAGGAGAGACCUAGAAAAGAAAAAAGAGGAAGAGAAGGAACAAGUAGGAGAGGUGCAGGUGCAAGUGCAGGUGAUUGCCAUCUUGGUCCUCGUGAUGAACUCACAGCCAGUGUCCAUUUAAGCAGCCGGUACUUAAGAAUACCAUACCAAAGAAUCAUCCAAUUUUAAGCAUAGCCGGCGAACUUUCAAAGUUCAAACCCCAUUCAGAAAGACAGCAUUCAGCAAUUCGUAGUCCAGGGAGCUGAAAACAAAAAACAUGCAUGCUUAUUCCAGCCAAACGACUAGUCAUCUUGCCCAGUAACUUUGUUACACAACCUC